UACGAAGGAUGCAAGCGUUAUCCGGAUUUAUUGGGUUUAAAGGGAGCGUAGGCGGCUUUAUAAGUCAGUGGUGAAAUCUUGUCGCUUAACGACAAACGUGCCAUUGAUACUGUAGAGCUUGAGUACAGAUGCCGUUGGCGGAAUGUGUCAUGUAGCGGUGAAAUGCAUAGAUAUGACACAGAACACCGAUUGCGAAGGCAGCUGACGAAACUGUAACUGACGCUGAGGCUCGAAAGCGUGGGGAUCAAACAGG
rnacentral:rRNA from 1 species